rnacentral:rRNA from 1 species
AUUGAACGCUGGCGGCAUGCUUUACACAUGCAAGUCGAACGGUAACAGGUUAAGCUGACGAGUGGCGAACGGGUGAGUAAUGCAUCGGAACGUGCCCGGUCGUGGGGGAUAACGCAGCGAAAGCUGCGCUAAUACCGCAUACGAUCUGAGGAUGAAAGCGGGGGACCGUAAGGCCUCGCGCGAUCGGAGCGGCCGAUGUCAGAUUAGGUAGUUGGUGGGGUAAAGGCUCACCAAGCCAACGAUCUGUAGCUGGUCUGAGAGGACGACCAGCCACACGGGGACUGAGACACGGCCCAGACUCCUACGGGAGGCAGCAGUGGGGAAUUUUGGACAAUGGGCGAAAGCCUGAUCCAGUAAUGCCGCGUGCAGGAAGAAGGCCUUCGGGUUGUAAACUGCUUUUGUACGGAGCGAAAAGGUCUCCUCUAAUACAGGGGGCUCAUGACGGUACCGUAAGAAUAAGCACCGGCUAACUACGUGCCAGCCGCCGCGGUAA